rnacentral:misc_RNA from 1 species
GGGACAGUGGUGCACGCCACCGGUCGCGUUGCCACCCUUAACGAGCGAACAAACACCGAGAGCCCCAACGCGCGCGGCUCAUGUCGGCCAACUGACUCCGAGCGCAGAAACCUCGGGGCCCUUCGGCUCUUGAGCGCCGCUGCUGCUCGGUCGCCGUGUGGUGGUGGAGACGCCGUCGACCCUGGUGGUGGUGGAGACGUGUCUAGUGGUGGUGGCAGUAGCGGCGGAGACGAGCUGAACCCGCUGUGUUCGAGCUGCCACGCUGGUGGGAGUACGGAUGCUGGAGCUCUCGAUGGUUAGCUCGUGAACACCGCUUCAGAGUGCCGCGCGAGCUGCCGAGAGAUACGCUUCGGCGCCGUUGCUACGAGUAACUUUGUUGUCUCGUAUGAGUUUUAUGGAAACAUUGGAAGGGAUGAGGAGGUUUUCGGAAGGUUUUUGGGACGGGUGUUUGAGAAAAGAAGAACUUGCCGGGGAAGUCUGUGGUUUACGAUUUUUGGGCGGAGUCGUUAUGGUUGGGUUGAUGUGUUGAAUAGAUCGAUGUUUCGAUAUAUCGGACGAUCGUUGUACCGUGGCUUCGAAAGAUAUUCGUAUACGCAAUCGUAUUUGUUGUAACAUCUAUAUAUGUAUACUAAUGAAACCAAUAUUAAAACAUACUGAUUCGAUAGAAUCGUUUUAUGGCUACAAAAUUGCUAAAGAUACUCCAGACAAAUACUCCAUAGAGACACCGUAUAGUAAAUUGAGAAGUAAAUAUCACAUACAAAAUACAUCAUUUACAUUGGGAAAUAAUUAAUGAUCAUAAUAUGAAGUUCAAAGAACGUAUCAUACUUAAUAUCUCGUCAAAGAACUUUUCACAAUACAAAGGACUUCAACGUCGCACAUCUUCCUCGUCAAACAAACGACAAAAAGACCAAGAAAGAACUCCAAAUAAUCUAUCGUAUUCCUAAAAAGGUAAACCGGAUAUAUUACCGAACCGCGUGUCUAGCCUCUAGACGCAUUCAACAAUGGCGCAUCGCACGCGACAGCGCACAAAUUGAUCAGCGUAUAAAUACAAACGUAGCAGCGAUCUCGUACCCAAGACGACGGCACGUCUCCCUAUCACAUAUCUAUUAGCCGCGACUGCUCGACGUGGCGCAGACAAUGGAGAAGAGGAACCGGCUCGACGAAAAUUCUACCCUUCCUGUUUCUUCUCGACCUCGCCCCCUUCCAUCCUGGAAACUCGUCCCAUGGAAGAUGAUCGUCUCGUAAUCCUAUAUAAACACGGUUAUUUUUAUCCCAUUAUGGGGCGGUUCCGUAACGGCCUGUAGAACACGGGGCCUGCAUAAUGCCACGCUGUGCGUGUACACGGCCGCUUCUAAGGGCCGCCGACGAGUAGGGAUGACCGCAGGAUCCCGAGGGGUGCACCGGUGCCACACCCCCUUCUCUGCUCGCAACAGAGCACCCAGCAGGGGGGCACCCGGUGCAUGAUACAGCCCUUCGAGGUCUUGUCCUGGGGCCUGCACCAGUCGCAUUCCUCGGGGACCGCAUUUUCCUUCGUCCACUGGUGAAAGGGACGAGUUAGGACGACGUGGUCCAGCGAGCAGGUCGAAUUUUGAUCGACUUUAUUUUAGGGAUUUUAUGUAUAUUAUGUACAAGGUGUCUGAGAGAGUUGAUGUUAAAUUUCAGAAGCAUCUAGUAAGCACUAAAGCAAACAAA